rnacentral:rRNA from 1 species
CCUACGGGAGGCAGCAGUGAGGAAUAUUGGUCAAUGGCCGGAAGGCUGAACCAGCCAAGCCGCGUGAAGGACGAAGGUGCCAAGCAUUGUAAACUUCUUUUGUCAAGGGACAAAAUCAGGCUCGAGAGCCUGACCGAGGGUACUUGAAGAAAAAGCAUCGGCUAACUCCGUGCCAGCAGCCGCGGUAAUACGGAGGAUGCGAGCGUUAUCCGGAUUUAUUGGGUUUAAAGGGUGCGUAGGCGGACUGUUAAGUCAGCGGUAAAAGCCCGGGGCUCAACCCCGGCGAGCCGUUGAAACUGGGUGUCUUGAGAUGUCGAGAGGUAUGCGGAAUGCGCAGUGUAGCGGUGAAAUGCUUAGAUAUUGCGCAGAACUCCGGUUGCGAAGGCAGCAUGCCGGCGGCGAUCUGACGCUGAGGCACGAAAGCGUGGGUAUCGAACAGGAUUAGAUACCCGUGUAGUC